AUCUAUUGUGGUAAGCUCUAGAAUAUUUCAUUUUAUUAUGUGGUUUACAGUUUUGAUAAUUCGUAGUUGUAAAGUUGGCAGUACCGCGCUCAACUUGUUUCUCCGCGCAGCGACCUUGUUUGUCAAGGUUCGUGUUUCGGAGUUAUAGAGUUGAGAGAGGGUUAUUACCACAAGAAAGUAGCCUACUCGUCUGUAGUGGCCUUCUCGGCCUUGAGGAGCUACUGAUCGAAGACACUGUAAGAUUGCUAGAUAAAGAAUUUGAAGAAAAUAUUGCGUCUUAUUGCAUGAUUCAUCAGAUACUAUUGUUGGUGACAAAAUUGGUUAUGAUGUAAGAAACAUCGAGGAUGUAAUUGGCGACAUAUUAAAACGAGCCAAAAAAAAAUGUUUUUGCUAAAUUGUAUUUAUAUAUUAACAUUGUCAAAAAUAUUACUCUUUUUA